rnacentral:lncRNA from 1 species
AUCCCUCUCCCUACACCACACACACACACGCACGCACGCACACACACGCACGCACGCGCACACACACACGCGCACACACACGCACACGCCCGCGCACACACUCUCUCACACACACACAGAGAUUGGAGAGAGACAGGAGAGAGACAUGUUUUCAUCUAUCCUUUGUGGACUUCUGUUGUUUUUACUGCUGUGAAAUUUGACUUGCGAUAUCUGCUUGUAAAACAUCAUCAAAUCCAAAUUCAUUAUAUUCCACUUUUUCUAUUACAUGGUUUCUGCUUCACUGAUUCAUAUCUGUUUUACCUAUUCUGUAAGGGAGGAGAAGCUGCAAAGCAAUGAAGAGAAAAGCUGAAGUCAGUGAUUAGGAGUGUCUGUGUAAGUAAAAGCAACAGGCAAUUACUGAGUGUGGUGUGAGAGGCACGGAAAGAUUGGGAAUUCAGCAAGAAGAGGAAUUGAAGUCAAACCUCACCUACUUCCCAGAGUCUUCUGGAUUUUCUGUUAGAAGCUUCAGUAUCUGAGAUAUUCCUAUGCAUUCUACUGCUUUAAUCCCACCUAAGUAGAGAUGUCCACAACAGAGAGAAUGGAGCUGUCACAUCGUUUCAACUGCCCAGGUAGUUCCUACUGGAUGAAUGGGAUUGUCACCUUCACACCUGCUAGAGGCUUGGAGCAUGCAAGAGUUUUUUUAAAUGGCUUCACCUUUCUUAUGAAAAUGCAACCACUAGUACUCUUCCAAUAAAAGCUUUUCUCAAGUGAAAGGACUCAGGCAACAAAUAAACAGCUAAGAUUUUACUAGAGUAUGAAAGGGAGAGCACUGGAGUGCAGUGCGGGGAUGGAGAUGCAGCUGUGGUGGCUGGAAGUACAGGAGGGCAGCUGGAGGCACCUGGCCUCUGAAGCCUGUCUUCUUCAUCUGGGUGAGAUCUGCUGGAGUCAGGAAGGACUUCCUGCUGCAAGGAUAAAGGUGAAGUGUGGUGGCGUAAUCAUGACUCACUGCAGCCUCGAACUCCGGGACUCAAGCUAAUCUCUUUCCUCAGCCUUCCCAGCAGCUGGGACUACAGAAUCCCACCCAUCCUAAGGCAUUACAUUUAGUCAUCAUAGCUCUUUCUUCACAGAAUUAGAAAAAACUACUUUAAAUUUCAUAUGGAACCAAAAAAGAGCCCAUAUAGCCAAGAAAAUCUUAAGCAAAAAGAACAAAGAUGGAGGCAUCAUGCUAACUGACUUCAAACUAUACUACAAGGCUACAGUAACCAAAACAGCAUGGUACUGGUGCCAAAACAGAUAUAUAGACCAAUGGAAUAGAACAGAGGCCUCAGAAAAACGUCACCCAUCUACAACCAUCUGAUCUUCAACAAAUCUGACAAAAACAAAUAAUGGGGAAGAAAUUCUGUAUUUAAUAAAUGAUCUUGGGAAAACUGGCUAGCCACAUGCAGAAAACUGAAGCUGGGCUCCUUCCUUACACCUUAUACAAAAAUUAACUCAAGAUGGAUUAAAGACUUAAACGUAAGACCUAAAACCAUAGAAACCCUAGAAGAAUACCUAGGCAAUACCAUUGAGGACACAGACAUGGGCAAAUGACUAAAGCAACAAAAGCCAAAAUUGACAAAUGGGAGCUAAUUAAACUAAAGAGCUUCUGAACAGCAAAAGAAACUAUCAUCAGAGUGAACAGGCAACCUACAGAAUGGGAGAAAAUUUUUGCAAUCUAUCCACCUGACAAAGGGCUAAUAUCCAGAAUCUACAAAUAACUUAAACAAAUUUACAAGAAAAAAAACAAACAACCCCAUCAAGAAGUGGGUGAAGGAUAUGAAAAGACACUUCUCAAAAGAAGACAUUUAUGUGGCCAACAAACAUGAAAAAAAGCUCAUCAUCACUGGGCAUUAGAGAAAUGCAAAUCAAAACCACAAUGAGAUACCAUCUCACGCCAGUUAGAAUGGCGAUCUUUAAAAAGUCAGGAAACAACAGAUGCUGGAGAGGAUGUGGAGAGAUAGGAAUGCUUUUACACUGUUGGUAGGAGUGUAAAUUAGUUCAGCAAUUGUGGAAGACUGUGUGGAGAUUCCUCAAGGAUCUAGAACCAGAAAUGCCAUUUGACCGAGCAAUCCCAUUACUGGCUAUAUACCCAAAGGAUUAUAAAUCAUUCUACUAUAGAGACACAUCCACCUGUAUGUUGAUUGCAGCACUGUUCACAAUAGCAAAGACUUGGAACCAAUGCAAAUGCCCAUCAAUGAUCGGCUGGAUAAAGAAAAUGUGGCACAUAUACACCGUGAAAUACUAUGUAGCCAUAAAAAAGGAUGAGUUCAUGUCCUUUGCAGGGAUAUGGAUGAAGCUGGAAACCAUCAUUCUCUGCAAACUAAUACAGGAACAGAAUGCCAAACACCACAUGUUCUCACUCAUAAGUGGGAGUUGAACAAUGAGAACACAUGAAUACCGGGAGGGAACAUCACACACCAGGGCCUGUCAGAGGGUCGGGGGCUAGGGAAGGGAUAGCAUUAGGAGAAAUACCUAAUGUAGAUUAUGGGUUGAUGGGUGCAGCAAACCACCAUGGCACAUGUAUAGCUAUGUAACAAACCUGCACGUUCUACACAUGUAUCCCAGAACUUAAAGCAUAAGUAAAAUAAAAAAAUAAUUAAAUGAGGAAGAAGAGUCAAAUUUUUGUGCAGAAAAAUUUGAAAGAAUUUAUGUAGAUACUACUUCCUCAAUGAGGAAGAGCAUAACUCUAUGCUCUUUAAGUCGGACAUGAACAUACUCAUUUCUUUCAAAAGAGUACAAUAUGAAAAGAGGGAAAAAGAAUAACUGUACAGUAAAGAAACCUGACAAUUGCUACCUUGGCCAAGUGACCCAGGUCAACAUCAACAGUGAUAGUGACGUUUAUGUCAUGUCCACUUGAAAUGAUGUGAUUAAAAAAAGGCACUUUACCUCUGUGUUCUUCUUCCUAUUCCCAUAAUUCCAGACUAAUUAUUUAAAAAUUUUCAUAUGUAUUCCAAUUAAAGAACAUUCUAAAAAAUACCCAACUGGUAAUUCUCAAAACUGCCUAGGUCAUCGAAACAAGCAAAAUUUGAGAAACUGUUACAUUUAUGGAUUUUUAAAUAUUGAAACAAAUCUCAUAUUUCUGGGAUGAAAUCUACUUCAUUAUGAAGCAUUAUCCUUUUAAAUAUAUUGCUUGAAUUAAUUUGCUAAAAUACUGUGUAGGAUUUUGCAUCUAUACUAAUGAGAGAUAGUGAUCUUUAGUUUUCUUUUUUCUUUUGUUUUGUUUUCUGAAACAGAGUCUUCUUGCUCUAUCGCCCAGGCUGGAGUGCAGUAGCAUGAUCAUAGCUCACUGCUGCCUCAAACUGAAGCAAUUAAAGACUGCUCAAG